rnacentral:snRNA from 1 species
AUACUUACCUGGCAGGGGAGAUACCAUGAUCAUCAAAGUGGUUUUCCCAGGGCGUGGUUUAUCAAUAACACUCUGGAUGUCCUAACCCCUGCAAUUUCCCCAAAUCUGGGAAAUCUGUGGUAAUGGGAGACGGUAUUUGCGCUCUCCCU